UCCUGAAGCCCAUGCCUGUCUUCGAUCACCACAUCAGCCUUCGGCUCCAGACUAUUUUGACACAUCUCAGAAUUCAUCACGCAUGAGAGAGGCCAGCCUGGAUGAGGACAUCCCAAUUUCACACAGGCAGUUUGUGGAGAACCAGGGAUACGCGUUUGAUGAAAAUGCUGCAGGUACAAUUAGGCACAAAGAUCAAUAUAUAAUUUGACAUAUAUUAAACAGAUCCUAACAUCCAUCUUCUAUGUUGUAGGGUUGAGAAGUGGUAACCAUCAUAAUGGCAACACAGGGGCCAGACCCAGUGCACCCUUCAGAAGUAACGUCUACCAACCGACUGAGAUGACCAUGAUACUAAAUGGAGGAGCAGUUCCAUCCGCACCUCCCACAUACACAGGAAGACAGCUUUGGUAAAGGAGGAGAAGGGCGAAUGGAAAAGUGGUGUAAAAUCUCUGAAGUGAAUGCGGACUUACAGUUAGGAACAACAUUAAAAGCCGCCAGUGCUCCAGUGAGACUGAAAUACAGGUCUCUGAUGGUGGUGUGUGUGUGAGUAAUUUGACAAGCGUGAUAGAAGGAUGUUAACACUGGACAACUCUUUUCACCAUCAAUAGCUGUAGCGAUUUUGAGUUAGUGUACUGGUAAAAAAUAUUGAUGCGGUAUCACAGAUUUCUCCAUUAAAACAGCUUUUCACUCCCACAGUAUUUUAAUUUUAUCAUUGUUCUUGCUCUGGCUUCAGAUUCACCCUGAAGCCAUAUCGUAUGUUACAUGAAGAAGUUACUGUAUUGCAGUUGUGAUUGUGCUGUAAAACUUGGACGUUUUAUCAUUCUGUGAUAACUGGAUACAGUACUUCGGUUUCUCUGGUCAGAGUUUUUUUUAUUUCGUGAGUUGUCUGUGUAGGAAUGACUGGCGUGCAACUGUAGCGCCAAUCCCCAUGCACCAUGCCGAGACAAAUCAUCAGCGUUCUUCUAAGGACUCUUUAGCUCAAAUCUCACUCAAUUCUAAGCAGCACCUUGUCGCAAAUGGGCUGUAUUUUUAUACAUCAAAUUAUUCUUGCAUUUCGCCACUGGAGCUGCGAAAUAUUUAAUCCGUUUUGAGCUCUGCUCUGUUUAACAGUUCUACAGUUAACCUUCAGAUACCUACUACUGCUGGACAGAUCCCAGUGGAAAUAACUAUGACGACAAAGCAAAGGAGGGAGGCGAGGACAAGAGGUGGAGUGUUAAUGUAAUUCAGAUUAGGUUUGCUAGUCUGAAUUAUGGUUUAAAAACUGCAACUCUGGCCAUAUACACACUGCAAAGUUUUGGAAGUGAUAACUGCUAAUGUGAUAAUAAAUAAGUUACCCACAUAAGUUACGGUAAAGUAAUCCACCGGUAAAGUAAUCCAAAAAUUUGAUUUAAAUAAUUGGAUUUUAUUUAUUCAGAUUUUUAUUUUAUGUACAAAAAGAGAUUAUAUAUAUUUUGUGUGUAUCACAGAAGCUAUGAGGGGUGAGUAAUUGACGGCAGAAUUUCCAUUUUUGGGUGAACUGUCCCUUUAAGCACUGAAAAGAGUGACGAUUGCAGUAUUUACAUGGCCACAGUACAAGAGAUCAGAGACCUGUGGUAAGAGGGUCUGGUCAGGUCAUUCUUCAAAUGGGUCUCUUUGUUUUAUUUGUCCAAUGAGAGUGACCGUGUGCUUAACCAGCUGUGUUCUGAAAGUGUUUUUGUCAUUGAUGUUUGCUCCUUAUACUGUGCUGUAACCUUCCGAAAGGGACAUUGAGUUGAAGAGAAUAACUACGGUUUCCUUUAUAAUCAUGCAUGCAGAGUCCUAAACCACAUCACACACACGGAUAUAUAUAUUACGGCUCAGUAUUAGGCUAGUUUUCACAAAACCAAGUGUGAACAUUUGGUUGAUUGCUUGGUCCAAUUCAGAGUUCGAUUCCACCCUCCUCCUUUUCUUAUACAAGGUACAAAAAGGCAAAUAAUAUGCUGCCAUUAUACUCUGAGACUGCAAAGAUGUAAAUUACACGUCAUCUAUAGCAGUUAACUUCCACAAGUUAUGAUGGAUUGCUGGAGUCGAUCUGAACCGUACCCCAGAAACCCAUGUGUGGUUCACUGUUGCACACCUGAGAUUUUACAGAUUUUUCACUGUAGACCAGUAUAGAUUUGGUGUUGGGGUUGUUUGCUUACAGUGUUGGUUUCAUUGCAGAGCGUAGUUCAUCUUAACAUGGUAUCAAGCCUGAACCCUCAGUAACCAACCACUAGGGCU
ensembl:lncRNA